rnacentral:rRNA from 1 species
CCCUCCUACGGGAGGCAGCAGUGAGGAAUAUUGGUCAAUGGGCUUACGCCUGAACCAGCCAAGUCGCGUGAGGGAAGACUGCCCUAUGGGUUGUACACCUCUUUUGUCAGGGAGCAACGCCGGCUACGUGUAGCCGGACUGAGAGUACCUGAAGAAAAAGCAUCGGCUAACUCCGUGCCAGCAGCCGCGGUAAUACGGAGGAUGCGAGCGUUAUCCGGAUUUAUUGGGUUUAAAGGGUGCGCAGGCGGAGGUGCAAGUCAGCGGUCAAAUUGCGGGGCUCAACCCCGUACUGCCGUUGAAACUGCAUCCCUUGAGUGCGCGAGAAGUAUGCGGAAUGCGUGGUGUAGCGGCGAAAUGCAUAGAUAUCGCGCAGAGCUCCGAUUGCGAAGGCAGCAUGCCGGCUCCACACUGACGCUGAGGCACGAAAGCGUGGGUAUCGAACAGGAUUAGAUACCCCCGUA